rnacentral:rRNA from 1 species
AUUGAACGCUGGCGGCAGGCUUAACACAUGCAAGUCGAGCGGGGUGAGGUGCUUCGGUACUGAUCCUAGCGGCGGACGGGUGAGUAAUGCUUAGGAAUCUGCCAUUUAGUGGGGGACAACAUUCCGAAAGGAAUGCUAAUACCGCAUACGUCCUACGGGAGAAAGCAGGGGAUCUUCGGACCUUGCGCUAAAUGAUGAGCCUAAGUCGGAUUAGCUAGUUGGUGGGGUAAAGGCCUACCAAGGCGACGAUCUGUAGCGGGUCUGAGAGGAUGGUCGGCCACACUGGGACUGGGACACGGCCCAGACUCCGACGGGAGGCAGCAGUGGGGAAUAUUGGACAAUGGGCGGAAGCCUGAUCCAGCCAUGCCGCGUGUGUGAAGAAGGCCUUUUGGUUGUAAAGCACUUUAAGCGAGGAGGAGGCUACCUGGAUUAAUACUCUGGGAUAGUGGACGUUACUCGCAGAAUAAGCACCGGCUAACUCUGUGCCAGCCGCCGCAGUAAGAC